rnacentral:lncRNA from 1 species
CAGCUGGACAGAUGAACAGUGGGUGUCCACUACGGGGUUACUGCCUGCUAGGCAGCAGCACACUUGUUUUUCUACCAUCAUGGCUGAGCUAAUAACAAUCUCUAAGUAGCACCUGCCGUCAUCUUCAUCAUCAGUCUUCUGCCAGGCUCUUCCACGGUCAAAUCCAAUCACAAGCCAGGGAGUAGGGAAGCCCACUUUCUGUGGACACGGAGCAAGAUGGCAGCAAGUAAAUAAUGAGUCUGGAGAAGGAAACAGAGAAUAGAUUGAACUCGGGUCCUUGCACUUGCGAAACAGGCGCAGCAGGAGGCAAAACCACUGAGCUAAAUCCCUGGCCCUAAUCUUGCUCUUGAACAUCACAGUAUCGUGAGACAUUGAAGCCUCAACUUGUGACUGGAGUACCAGGGAUCGAACUCGGGACCUUGCGCUUGUGAGGCAGGCACCGGAACCACUGAGCUAAAUCCCCGGCCUAACACAAAGUCAAGGUGCAUUUUUGACAGUUUGAAGCCAAACACCUGGUGUUCAAGAAUACACUGAGUUUGGUUGUUUGGAUCAGCCCUAACUGUUACUGGGAAGCAACAAGACCCAAGAACGUCCCCAUGCAUAGCUGCUUCAUUAACUAGCUAUUGAUAUUUAGACAUACAAGGUGCAGAAUGUUUCAUAUUUAAGUAGCCUGGUGAUGUGGGCCAAGGAUUCUCUUUAUUUUUUUUCUCUUAAAUUCUUUUAUUGGUACAUUUUAGGCAUACAAUACAUUUACAUUCAUCAUUGGAAACUUGUACCUUUACAUGAGUAUCUUGGUUCUUAUUUUUUCCCCCUUCCCCUGCCCUCCCUUCAACCCCUCCACCCCUCCCUAUUUGCAAAGGCUUUUUUUCCAUUUAUUUCUUGUCUCACAUUUUUUCCUUUUCAAGGAAUCUCUUUAUAAGCCUCAUCUGAUUCUAGGUCUUCCCCAGGAUCCGGAGAAGUGUUAGGUGGCUUUUCCUCCUUAGUACAUUUCUCUUCCUCAACCUGACUGAGGAGAGGAGACUUGGGAGGGGUAGUGUUUAAAGGACCCAAAACUGAUUUUACUAGGCUCCAAGCUGAAAAGGUCUUAGGAGAGAUAG